rnacentral:lncRNA from 1 species
UGGCAAGUGGGAGGAAGUGUCACAGCUCUUUUAUUUCUGCCACCCACAGCUUGGUGAGUAGGAGCAUUACAGCUCUUUUGCUCCCACAGUUCAGCAAAUUCUGAGUUCCUGUCCCAUGACCAAGAGGAAUGAGGAACAUGGACACCGGAGAAUGAGUAAGGCAGAGUAGAAUUUUAUUCAUCAGCGAGAGGGGACCUGAAAGCAGGUCGCCAUCUGUGAGGAUUAAAGUUAGGACCAAAUGCUGCUCAGAAAUUGUUUUAAUCUCAAAAGUAGUUGGCAAGUUUUCAGAGUUCAUUUUCAAGGCCUGGUGUAUGCAUUGGUUACAUGAAAACCGUGUGACAACCUUGGAAGUCUGAAAGAGCAGGAGAGAGGCUAAGCACACACAUAUUGUGAUUUUAAGAGUCUCAAGAAAUUCUCCACUGAAAAAAUCAUGCAUAUCCAGGCAUAGAAGAGGGGUAACAACUACAGGAAAAACAAGAAAUAGGGAAGAAGGGCUGACACAAGCUGAGAUGAGGAAAUAUGACCUCCUACACGUGUUUUCCAUGAGGAAUAUGUUUGCUGUGCAGUCACUGAGUUAAAAGCAACCUUCAUUCCCUUGUGCACCAAGGUAGUGCCUCUCCAGAGCUGUAGAUGUCUUCCCAGGAUAUUCCAUCAUUCUACACAGCAUUUAAUUCUUGGAGCUCACAGUCCAAGACUGUUAUCAGUCCAUUUUCACUCUAUUGAUCAAGACAUACUCAAGACUGGGUAAUUUAUAAAGAAA